UUUGAGCUAAUACCGGAUAAUGUCUUCGGACCAAAGAUUUAUCGCCUUUAGAUGGGCCCGGCGUUGGAUUAGCUAGUUGGUGGGGUAAAGGCCUACCAAGGCGACGAUCCCAUAGCUGGUCUGAGAGGAUGAUCAGCCACACUGGGACUGAGACACGGCCCAGACUCCUACGGGAGGCAGCAGUGGGGAAUAUUGGACAAUGGGCGAAAGCCUGAUCCCAGCAAUGCCGCGUGAGUGAUGAAGGCCCUUAGGGUUGUAAAGCUCUUUUACCCGAGAUGAUAAUGACAGUAUCGGGAGAAUAAGCUCCGGCUAACUCCGUG
rnacentral:rRNA from 1 species